GCUUUCUCCUGAGCCGUCGGAGGGAGCCGGAGCGCUUCUCCCGAGUUGGUGAUAGAUUGGUGGUCAUCCAACAUGCAGAAAUGAAUGAGCAGUGAAAAGCAGCAGAGCCGAUGGGUCAUGAGGAUGUAAGUGCGUUUGAAGGCUUCCACACCCUCUACUCCAGGAUGCUUUUCAACUUAUGGUGGUGUGACAUCCUGAUAAACACAAUCCUCCGAAGUACUUUGGAAACGUACUAGCACCAUUCUCCGAGGCCCGAUGAUCGUACAGUGGCUGGAAACGGCAUUUUCGCAUGUGCUUUUCCUGAGUCUAGGUUGUCAGGUGGAUCCUUCUUAGGCUCCUCAGUUUGAACAAGCUGUCAGAGUGUAUCAAAGAAUACCAGAUAGGAGGAGAAGAAAAAGUAACAGCUGAAAAAAAAAAAGAGGGAAAAAAGAGUAGGCACUCCCCUCCACCCACUCUCCGGUUCCAUUCAGCACACUGACUUCAUUCAGCAGUUUUUUUCCUGCUUUGUAUGCAAAGACAGAGCCUCUCAUGAGAACUUGGAUGGUGGAGUAUAAACACUCAUUUAAAAAUAAAUCCAGAUGUAGUUGGCUGCAGUCAUCUGACAGAACCCUGAUUCUCUCUUCAAUAAUGACGUUCAUUUGUACCUCAUUAAUUGAGAGUUUUUAAUAAUUUCUCCAGGGUAAGAAAACUGAGUCACACAAGGAUAUAUUUGUGUAACACAAUUUCAAAAAGGC
rnacentral:lncRNA from 1 species